rnacentral:rRNA from 1 species
GAAUUUUGGACAAUGGGCGAAAGCCUGAUCCAUCAAUGCCGCGUUCAGGAUGAAGGCCUUCGGGUUGUAAACUGCUUUUGUACGGAACGAAAAGCUUUUUUUUAAUCUCCUGGUGUCAUGACGGUACCGUAACAAUAAGCACCGGCUAACUACCUUCCAGCAGCCCCGGUAAUACGUAGGGUGCAAGCGUUAAUCGGAAUUACUGGGCGUAAAGCGUGCGCAGGCGGUUUUGUAAGACAGAGGUGAAAUCCCCGGGCUCAACCUGGGAACUGCCUUUGUGACUGCAAGGCUAGAGUACGGCAGAGGGGGGUGGAAUUCCGCGUGUAGCAGUGAAAUGCGUAGAUAUGCGGAGGAACACCGAUGGCGAAGGCAACCCCCUGGGCCUGUACUGACGCUCAUGCACGAAAGCGUGGGGAGCAAACA